AAGUCGUAACAAGGUUUCCGUAGGUGAACCUGCGGAAGGAUCAUUAACACGUUUCCAAACGUUAACCACAACCCCGUGAACUUGUCCCCCUCCCUAUCAACACGUAUGUGUGCACAGCCUUAUGCCUAAGUGGACAAACGAUCGGAGAGCCUGACCGAUUCAGUUCGGAAAGUUGAUCCUCGGGGCAGCUGACACUUUGAAGCCGUUGAGCUACAGCAUACAGUUGAUCGGCUAAUUUUCUAGAUCCACAUCUCACCCCUUUCCACCGUUUGACCUCUUGACUUCGGUCAAUGUUGACGUUCUAUUUGACUAAUGCUUAUCCUGUCUGACUGAGCAUGUGACUUGUCACUGUUCGGACCUAACAUGGAUAUGAGUUAUGUAACUAAGCACAACUCUUAGCAACGGAUAUCUUGGUUCUC
rnacentral:misc_RNA from 1 species